rnacentral:rRNA from 1 species
UACGUAGGGUGCAAGCGUUAAUCGGAAUUACUGGGCGUAAAGCGUGCGCAGGCGGUGAUGUAAGACAGUUGUGAAAUCCCCGGGCUCAACCUGGGAACUGCAUCUGUGACUGCAUUGCUGGAGUGCGGCAGAGGGGGAUGGAAUUCCGCGUGUAGCAGUGAAAUGCGUAGAUAUGCGGAGGAACACCGAUGGCGAAGGCAAUCCCCUGGGCCUGCACUGGACGCUCAGUGCACGAAAGCGUGGG